GGCAGGAUAGUCUAGCAGUGGCAAGGGGGUUCGAACCCCCCAGGCGAAAGGUCCUGGGUUCGAUUCCCAAUGCUUACAGCCGA